AGUGAACGCUGGCGGUAGGCCUAACACAUGCAAGUCGAACGGCAGCACAGUAAGAGCUUGCUCUUACGGGUGGCGAGUGGCGGACGGGUGAGGAAUACAUCGGAAUCUACUCUUUCGUGGGGGAUAACGUAGGGAAACUUACGAUAAUACCGCAUACGACCUACGGGGGAAAGCAGGGGAUAUUCGGACCUUGCGCGAAUGAAUGAGCCGAUGUCGGAUUAGCUAGUUGGCGGGGUAAAGGCCCACCAAGGCGACGAUCCGUAGCUGGUCUGAGAGGAUGGUCAGCCACACUGGAACUGAGACACGGUCCAGACUCCUACGGGAGGCAGCAGUGGGGAAUAUUGGACAAUGGGCGCAAGCCUGAUCCAGCCGUACCGCGUGGGUGAAGAAGGCCUUCGGUUUGUAAAGCCCUUUUGUUGGGAAAGAAAAGCAGCAGGUUAAUACCCCGCUGUUCUGACGGUACCCAAAGAAUAAGCACCGGCUAACUUCGUG
rnacentral:rRNA from 1 species